AGAACGAACGCUGGCGGCAGGCUUAACACAUGCAAGUCGAACGCCCCGCAAGGGGGAGUGGCAGACGGGUGAGUAACGCGUGGGAAUCUACCCAAUUCUACGGAACAACAGUUGGAAACGACUGCUAAUACCGUAUACGCCCUACGGGGGAAAGAUUUAUCGGAAUUGGAUGAGCCCGCGUUGGAUUAGCUAGUUGGUGGGGUAAAGGCCUACCAAGGCGACGAUCCAUAGCUGGUCUGAGAGGAUGAUCAGCCACAUUGGGACUGAGACACGGACCCAAACUCCUACGGGAGGCAGCAGUGGGGAAUAUUGGACAAUGGGCGCAAGCCUGAUCCAGCAUGCCGCGUGAGUGAUGAAGGUCUUAGGAUUGUAAGCUCUUCACCGGAGAAGAUAAUAGGACGGUACUCCGGAAGAAAGAACGCCCCGGCUAAACCUUCGUAGCCAGCCAGCCGAC
rnacentral:rRNA from 1 species